CUGCGAGUGAAGCGGGAAAAGCUCAAAUUUAAAAUCUGGCGGUUAUGCCGUCCGAGUUGUAAUCUGGAGAAGCGUUUUCCGUGUUGGACCGUGUACAAGUCUCUUGGAACAGAGCGUCAUAGAGGGUGAGAAUCCCGUCUUUGACACGGACUACCAAUGCUUUGUGAUACGCUCUCAAAGAGUCGAGUUGUUUGGGAAUGCAGCUCAAAAUGGGUGGUAAAUGCCAUCUAAAGCUAAAUAUUGGCGAGAGACCGAUAGCGAACAAGUACCGUGAGGGAAAGAUGAAAAGCACUUUGGAAAGAGAGUUAAACAGUACGUGAAAUUGUUGAAAGGGAAACGCUUGAAGUCAGUCGCGUUGUCUGGGACUCAGCCUUGCUUCUGCAUGGUGUACUUCCUGGUUAACGGGCCAACAUCGAUUUUGGUCGGUGGAUAAAGUCAGGAGGAAUGUGGCACCCUCGGGUGUGUUAUAGCCUCUUGUCGCAUGCAUCGACUGGGAUCGAGGAUCGCAGCACGCCUUUUUGGCCGGGGUUCGCCCACGUAACGUGCUUAGGAUGUUGGCAUAAUGGCUUUAAUCGACCCGUCUUGAAACACGGACCAAGGAGUCUAACAUGCCCGCGAGUGUUAGGGUGGAAAACCCUUGCGCGUAAUGAAAGUGAAAGUUGGGACCUCUGUCAUGGGGGGCACCGACGCCCGGCCCUGAGCUUUUGUGACGGCGCCGCGGUAGAGCGUGUAUGUUGGGACCCGAAAGAUGGUGAACUAUGCCUGAAUAGGGCGAAGCCAGAGGAAACUCUGGUGGAGGCUCGUAGCGAUUCUGACGUGCAAAUCGAUCGUCAAAUU
rnacentral:rRNA from 1 species